rnacentral:rRNA from 1 species
CCUACGGGGGGCAGCAGUGGGGAAUAUUGGACAAUGGGCGAAAGCCUGAUCCAGCCAUGCCGCGUGUGUGAAGAAGGCCUUCGGGUUGUAAAGCACUUUCAGUGGGGAAGAAAGCCUUGGGGCUAAUACCCUCGAGGAAGGACAUCACCCACAGAAGAAGCACCGGCUAACUCCGUGCCAGCAGCCGCGGUAAUACGGAGGGUGCGAGCGUUAAUCGGAAUUACUGGGCGUAAAGCGCGCGUAGGCGGUCUGAUAAGCCGGUUGUGAAAGCCCCGGGCUCAACCUGGGAACGGCAUCCGGAACUGUCAGGCUAGAGUGCAGGAGAGGAAGGUAGAAUUCCCGGUGUAGCGGUGAAAUGCGUAGAUAUCGGGAGGAAUACCAGUGGCGAAGGCGGCCUUCUGGACUGACACUGACGCUGAGGUGCGAAAGCGUGGGUAGCAAACAGGAUUAGAUACCCUGGUAGUC